AGAGUUUGAUCAUGGCUCAGAUUGAACGCUGGCGGCAUGCCUUACACAUGCAAGUCGAACGGUAACGGGUCCUUCGGGAUGCCGACGAGUGGCGAACGGGUGAGUAAUAUAUCGGAACGUGCCCAGUAGUGGGGGAUAACUGCUCGAAAGAGCAGCUAAUACCGCAUACGACCUGAGGGUGAAAGGGGGGGAUCGCAAGACCUCUCGCUAUUGGAGCGGCCGAUAUCAGAUUAGCUAGUUGGUGGGGUAAAGGCCUACCAAGGCAACGAUCUGUAGUUGGUCUGAGAGGACGACCAGCCACACUGGGACUGACACACGGCCCAGACUCCUACGGGAGGCAGCAGUGGGGAAUUUUGGACAAUGGGCGCAAGCCUGAUCCAGCAAUGCCGCGUGCAGGAAGAAGGCCUUCGGGUUGUAAACUGCUUUUGUCAGGGAAGAAAUCUUCUGGGCUAAUACCCCGGGAGGAUGACGGUACCUGAAGAAUAAGCACCGGCUAACUACGUGCCAGCAGCCGCGGUAAUUC
rnacentral:rRNA from 1 species